rnacentral:rRNA from 1 species
UACAGAGGUCCCGAGCGUUGUUCGGAUUUAUUGGGCGUAAAGGGUGCGUAGGUGGCAAAGUAAGUUGGAUGUGAAAUCCUGGGGCUUAACCUCAGAAUUGCAUUCAAUACUGCUUAGCUAGAGAGCUGUAGAGGAGACUGGAAUUUACGGUGUAGCAGUGAAAUGCGUAGAUAUCGUAAGGAACGCCAGUGGCGAAAGCGAGUCUCUGGGCAGCAUCUGACACUGAGGCACGAAGGCCAGGGAGCAAACGGG